rnacentral:rRNA from 1 species
UGACCUGGCCUGAAGUGAGGGAUACCGGCGAGAAAUUGCCGACAAGCCCGCAUAGGUUCUUUUGUGUAGAGGCAAGAGAGCAAAGGUUCUCUGAAAGGAGGGCUGCUUUAGGAUGGGCCUGUGGCCGAUUAGCUAGUUGGGGGGGUAAGAGCCUCCCAAGGCGACGAUCGGUAGCUGGUCUGAGAGGACGAUCAGCCACACUGGGAUUGAGAACGGCCCAG